GGCUCUGAUUUAACGAGCUCUAUGACACCCUAAAUCACAUAAAGAACAGGAGGUUAGUCUGUGUGUGUUUUACUCCACUGUACAGCUAUAGGAAGAUAUUCUUCCACUACAUGGAAAGAACAGCUGGAGCGUCGCGCGCCCGGUGAGAUCCAGCUGUGCUGAACGGGAAUAUUAAACAGAUGUGUAUGUGCUACGUGUAGAACGACACGUUGAAUACAAAACGUCCUGUAGACUACUGAGACCUCGGGAUCUUCUGUGUUUAUAUUAAAAAGCAAAAAGUAUUAUCGUGAUGCAGAAUAGCCUACGGACGUUUCGUGACACUUAAAGCACUGGAUCGCGUUUCAUUUGGAUUGCACUGACUUUUCCCUUCUGUUUCUUCCGAGCAGAAGGUUUGUUUAGCAACAAUGUCCAAGGUCCGAGUUCUUCUUUUUCUCCUACAUCACUUCGUUUUUUCGCUUCUAUCUGCGAGAAUCACUAAAGGUCACAGCACAGGCAGACCAGAUGUGCCACUGACCACAGAGGGAACGUCAUAUGGCGGUGGGCUUCACUCUGUACUGCAGGAUUCAGUCUCACCAGCCUUUGGUGCCACCAUCAUAAUAAUCGUCACUGUGAUUGUAAGUGGAAGCGCCUACCUCUGCUUUCUCAAGUAUAUUUGUGCUGGCUGCUGCAAACCCACACAAGUGGCUCCUGUGACUAAUAUGAACCCCAACAAGAGUGAGGAGCAAGUGUAGUGAGAAGAUUGUUCAUAAGCUGCUAUGAAAUACUUUCAUAAUUCCCCUUUUUAAACCCAGUUCACAUGGACAAAUCUGUAUCAUUAAAAAGCUUCACUUUUUACAACAAUGACUUAUUCUUCAUUUUCUCUGUAAAUUUCAGAGUUCUUCUCUGGGCCUUGUCAUAUCUCUACAUAGCAUAUAAUAUCUUUAUUUUGGUUCUUACAUAUUCCAGUCAUGUAAAAUGUAAGAUAUAUACAAUGGGUAUUUAUAUUCAUAUUAAAUAGGAUUAAUAGUAUUUUUAUUUAAAUGCACCAGAGACUGGAUCUUGUUCAAUGUCAUAAUUUGUAUCUUUUCUUCAGAUGAUUCCUAAAUUGUGACUUGAUUAAAUUGUGGUUAUUUAAGUGCUGUGCAGUUUGUGUUUGUUAACAUUAAAAAAGCUUAAAUUUAGAGGAUUGUGUUGAAUUGCUAGUAGUUUGUUACUAUGUUGUUGUUGUUGUUGUUGUUGCUGUUGUUGGCUGUUCCCUGUUUGGGGUCGACACAGAGGAUCAUCCGAUCUGCAUAUAUUUGGUUUUGGCACAGGUUUUACACUGGAUGCUCUUUGAGACACAACCCCCCCAUUUUAUCUUGCCUCGGAAUCAAACCUGUGCUGUGGCUGUGACAGCGUGGAAUCCUGCCCCUGGACCUCCGGGGACCUGAUAGUAGUUCCUAUAAUGGUCAUAUGUUAAUAUUUUAUUUAUUUAUAAGACCAACAACUUUUUGAUAUCCACUGUACUAAAGCAUCACAUUGAGGUAAUAUUUUCGAAUUCAGUACAUCAUCACACCAUCACCCUUACAGAUAAUCUGUGAUAUCUGAGUCUGAGAUGGAAGUGUGCACUUUUUCAACAGGGUGAGGACACUGAGACACACAAGUCUGUUGUCUCUGAUCCUAUGUUUUUAUGUUAAACAUCCAUAAGCUGUGUGUGUAGCUGCAUAUGUAAAGUGCUUACUCUCUGAUCCUGCUCCAUGUGCCUCAGUGCGUGUAGUUUCUUUGAGAUUUAUAUACAUAUCUGCAUUUGUUUGUUGAUUAACUAUUAUGUUGUCAGGUCUAGAGUUAUCCAAGAUUUUUCCUGGAAGAAAUAAAUAAAUAAAUAAAUAAAUAGAUAGAUAGAUAGAUAGAUAGAUAGAUAGAUAGAUAGAUAGAUAGAUAGAUAGAUAGAUAGAUAGAUAGAUAGAUAGAUAGAUAGAUAGAUAGAUAGAUAGAUAGAUGACAAUAUAAAGCACAUGAACUGAUUGAUAUCUGAGGCUUCUUUGAAAGAGAGGUGGCUAUAUUGCUUUAUUAUAUCAAACGUUUUCCAAAGCUACCUCUGGAGCAACACUUAGAGAAAUCAAUCAGUAAUAGGAGAGACAUAGACAGACAAUAGGGAACAACUCUGGUUGCCAUGACCUCUUCCUAUCUUCCUAUAGUGCUGAAUAAUCAUUUGCAAUACAGAAGACAGAGUAUCGUCUCCGACUGUUUGUGCCAGGUUUCAGUUGUAAUUAUGCUAAAUGUACGAAACUGAAGUAAAAGCAUAAAUGUACAGUUUAUGCAGGGAUUCUGUCCCUCAUCAGGAGAGUGUAGUCAGUACAAACAAGGGUGUAGAAAUGGAAAGUGCAGCUGAUUACAUAUUGUGUUUGAUUUACUGAACACUAGACAGUCAGCACUGGUUAGUUGUGUGAAUAUCAGAAAUUGAGACCAUAUUUUGUACUUUUUGAUCUUGUACAUUCUACAAUGCUGCUUCUGCAUUUGUGCCAGGAUUUCUGGCAACUUUGUUCACAUAGCAUAUUCCCAUAUAUGUAAUAAUCAGUUAUUGCAUCAGAUUCCUCAUUUUUAACAAAAAAAAAGCAACACAGUAAACAACAGAUUAGUGACAUUUUAUUAAAAAUGUUCAGAAGAAAAAAGGGAAUAUAGUUGAAUCGAAUUUUACUUUUCCUAAUUUUUUUUAGUCCCAGUGUUUUUGAAGUUUGAUCAUUUCCACUUUGCUCAUAUACACAGGGCAUUUAUUGUGCAGAACAAGGCUCAUUUUGCACUAUGACUGACAGAUAAUGUCAAAUUCUUUAUGAAUGUAUUUUACCUCAUCAAGUGAUGUUUGAAAAGAGUUAAUCUGUGAGAAAAGAGUUAAUCAGCUUUUAUUCGAGAUCCUUUAUUUGUAUUUUCCUGAAAAUGAUGAGGAAAGAUCUGUAUUGUGUUUCUACAGUCACUCACAUGUCUGGAGACUGUAGUUAUGCUCUGUAUUUCCCAUUUGAAGUUAAUUGCAUUGGAAUGAUAAUGUUAACAGUAAAUAAAACAACACUCAAAUUCAAA